GUGGCACACUGUUAAAGCCUGGCACUAACGUUGGUGUUUGGGUGUCGGAGGUGUGCAAAAUUAAGCUAGCUGGGUUUUCGCUAACACCAUGAGGCCCUCUGUGGCCCCUGACUGGGGUUUGAUAGUGACCUGAGCUACAUGU